GGCUUGUAGCUCAGUGGUAGAGUGCUUACCUAGCACAUGUGAGGCACUGGGUUCAAUCCUCAGCACCA
rnacentral:tRNA from 1 species